rnacentral:rRNA from 1 species
CUACGGGUCGCUGCAGUGAGGAAUAUUGGACAAUGGGGGAAACCCUGAUCCAGCAAUGCCGCGUGUGUGAAGAAGGCCUGCGGGUUGUAAAGCACUUUCGGUUGGGAGGACUGCUUCUAGCACUAAUAUUGUUGGAAGUUGACGUUACCUUCAGAAGAAGCACCGGCUAACUCCGUGCCAGCAGCCGCGGUAAUACGGAGGGUGCAAGCGUUAAUCGGAAUUACUGGGCGUAAAGCGCGCGUAGGCGGCUAGAUCAGUCGGGUGUGAAAGCCCCGGGCUUAACCUGGGAACUGCAUCCGAUACUGUCUAGCUUGAGUACAGGAGAGGAGAGUGGAAUUCCACAUGUAGCGGUGAAAUGCGUAGAUAUGUGGAGGAACACCAAUGGCGAAGGCAGCUCUCUGGCCUGAUACUGACGCUGAGGUGCGAAAGCGCGGGGAGCAAACAGGAUUAGAUACCCCAGUAGUC